rnacentral:rRNA from 1 species
GAUGAACGCUGGCGGCGUGCCUAACACAUGCAAGUCGAACGAAGCGCUUUGAAGUUUCGGACAGAGAAGUGACUGAGUGGCGGACGGGUGAGUAACGCGUGGGUAACCUGCCUCAUACGAGGGGGAUAACAGUUAGAAAUGACUGCUAAUACCGCAUAAGCGCACAGUACCGCAUGGUACAGUGUAGAAAAACUCCGGUGGUAUGAGAUGGACCCGCGUCUGAUUAGCUAGUUGGUGAGGUAACGGCCCACCAAGGCGACGAUCAGUAGCCGGCCUGAGAGGGUGAACGGCCACAUUGGGACUGAGACACGGCCCAAACUCCUACGGGGAGGCAGCAGGUGGGGAAUAUUGCACAAUGGGGGAAACCCUGAUGCAGCGACGCCGCGUGAGUGAAGAAGUAUUUCGGUAUGUAAAGCUCUAUCAGCAGGGAAGAAAAUGACGGUACCUGACUAAGAAGCACCGGCUAAAUACGUG